AAAUGGGGACGUCGGGAGCAUUCUCUGGACAGCAGGAGAUGCAUGUCGACAGGCUGGCCCUGCCUCUUCCCACCCCAGAGUGGUGCAGCGGUGUCCUGGACCCCUGGGGAGAGGUGACCCCCCCAGCAGGAAGCUGGGCCUGGUUUCUGUCCCUCUGCAGCCACAAGGCCUGGCUAGGAUGCUGGGAGCACCACACCCUGGAGACUCAGCUCACCAAGGACUCAGGGGCGGGGGCUCCCCUGGCACCUGGGAAGCUGGGCCCCCGGCCCCCUGGACUCCCACCCAGACACCAUCUCAACCCAGGCUGGGUUUCCUGUGUCCUCACCGCCCGCUUAUCAGCAAGAUGGGGAUGUGGAUGACAGGAGUGCUGGCCACGGAGGGCCUGGUGUGGGUGGCCGUCGGGACGAGGGUAGUGUGGGCGGCCACGGCAGUUGGUGCUACUGCUGGGAGGGGCCGAAGGUGAGGCCCUCCUGGGCUGUGGGUCCCUGUAAGCCACUGCCCCCGUGGGGUGUGCAGUCACCAAGCCGACCUGCUGCCGGGGUUCCGCCCCCUCCCUUUCCCUUCUGCUUCCCCGGCACCUGUGUCCCAAGCCUGAAGCCCUGUCCGUGUCAGAGGUGGCACCUCCCUGGGCACGGGCACUUGGACGCUGGUGCCUCCCCUGCUGCGGACCCCUUUGCUGUGGUCAGGGCCUCCUCCCUGCACUGGCCCCGCCUGUGACCGCAGGCCUGGCGGGGCCCUCAAUGGCCACAGAGGGCACAGGCCGGGGCCAGGAGGGCACCGUCUCCUGGGGCACAGAUAUGCUGGAGUGAGCUAUGGAAUUGUCCAUCAGCAGCGGCAAGCUUUGCUGAGCGCCAGCUGUAUGCAGAGCAAAGGCGGGCCAGCCGGGAAGGGCCAGUGAGGACCUGGAGUCCCCAGCAUCCCCAGGAGCCUGCACCCCUACGCGGGGGACGCCUGGGCAGCUCCUCCCUCCUCCACUCCCCGCCCUCUCCUCCCCUCCUUCCUGCAGUUCCCACAGCUGUUUGGGUGCCUCCCGUGGCGCCUGGUUGAGCUGCAGGGGGAGAUGUGUGUGGACACUGCAACCCUCCCGAAGCUGGGCCUGGAAGAAAUGACUUCCCCAGAACCUUAUCUGGGCCGGAGAGGGGCGUUGGCAGCGGGGGUCUUGCCGCCUUCCGGUCCUCUGCAUGCCAGGCACCACCUGGGGCCGGGCCAGGGCAGGCUGCCUGGACACCAUGGACCUGCCCAGCUGUAGGGGAGGUGUGUCCUGCAGCCCUACCCGAGGCCCAGGCCUGCGUGGCUGAGAGGACUGAGGACGGCUGACCCCCUUGGUGACUGCCUGGGCCCAGAGGGGAGUUGGGGGAGUGGUCAGCUGGGUGUGGCCAGCCCUGGGGGAAGGAUCCAGGGACUGUGUCCACUUAGGGAUAGGAGGCAGCUAGCAGAGCCCUCCCAGCUGACCAGGGGAGGCCCUGUGGGCACAGGAGGGGCCCCAGGUGUAGGUACAGGUGCAGGGCUGUGCGGCUCUGUGUCACCCAGGUGGAGCGUCUUGCCCCGUUUGAUGGCUGACAAAGUGCCCUUGAAUGCGUCAGACCCAGCGUGGUCCCAGGGUCCUGACCCUAACAUACCACCCCAAAUUACCCUCACCCCAGCCUACCCCUGCCCUAAAUUCACCCCAAGCCUCCACCCAAACCCCUUAGUCCCAACACCUUAACCCUAGACCCAACCCUACACCCCAAGCCCUAAUCCCUAACCGCUAGCCUCACCCUAACCUUCCUACCGGAUGCCACCUGGCAAACAUCCUCCUGGCCCCUAUCUGCCCCUCCCCCGGGGAUCCGGGAGGCAGUGGGGUCCCUGGGAGGCUGCUCCCUGCAGAACGCGAUGGACAGAUGCAUGGGCACCGGGCCCCAGCACCCUCUGGCUUCCUUCAUCCUCCCCAGGCACUUCCCCCGGGCCAGAGGGCAGCCUGGCAGCCCUGGACUCCGGGAGGGCCGAGUCUGGGGAGCUGGACGACGUCACAUUCCACUCUUGAUGAUGCCGCCCCAGUCCUACAAUCUGGACAGCAGGAGAAGCUGCCCAUUUCCUCCAUCUCCGGUAAUGAGAAGCAAAUGCUGAUCCUGGCCGUCUCCUGGCUCUUGGGUCCCUAGGUUCCUGCUGCCCCUGCCAGUUCCUGGAAGAUGCCAGCAGGAGGGAGGGCAGUGGAGCUGGACUUGCGCCCACAACAGGAUCUGGCCAUAAACGCAGUCAGGGCGAGGCUGCGGGGUGGGUGGCUGAGCCUCCUGGUGGACUAUCUCCCCUCCCACCCCCCGCCCUGGCCCGCAGCUGUUGGCUCUUCCUGGGAAGCCACAGCCUUUGUUUGUUCCUUGAAGGAGCUGGUGCGUUGCCUGCGAGCUCCUCUGCAGGCUUGGGGGUCGCACCUGCUGUCCACCCCCCUCGAAACCAGCUCCAUCCAGCAGCAGGCUGCAAGCCUGGAGAGGCCACCGGGGACCAGGCAGGGAAACUGAGGUCCCAAAAAGGCAGGGAACAGGUGCAGGGGGCCUGUCUGACCUGCGCUGGGACUGGGCCAGGUGAGUCUCCUCCAGGGCCCAGCCCCAUCUUGGACAGAGGAAGUUGAUAGUCAGGAAAGGCAGGAGUGGCCUCUUCUAACAAUUUCAGCUCUGAAGGGGCCAAGGGUGGCGAUGCUGACAGCAUUUCCUCCAGCUCCCACCUGCCUGCUCCGGGGAACUCCCUACCCAGGCAUUGAUAUUCACCUGGUGAUACUAAUAAUUGUCUCAGGUGAUAAAUUGUCUCAGCUGCUCUCCCACAUGGCCCACAGGUCCCUGGAGGUUCCCCGGAUCCUUUCAGGGAAGACCAUGGGCCCUAAACGAUCUUCAUAACAAAACUGAGAAGUGGCCUGGCUUCUUCACUGCGUGCCUGUGUGCUGGGAUCUAGCGUGGCCCGACUGGGCAGCUCCUUUCCUUCCCUGACGCUGCUCCAGGGGAAAGAAGGACCAGGGUCAAUCCGGGGUGCCCCAGGUGGAUCAGCGAAUGCCCCUGAAGCCAGGUGCCAGUUGCAUCCCCGUCAGAUGCCCCCACCCCAGUCUCCUGAGCCUCAUUAGUCACCCCUCAUUUUCCUCUGGGGACCCCAGGCCCCAGCUCCUGUCUGGUUAGAGGCUGAAGGGGUCUGAGCGACACCUACCCUAGGGGACCUCCGGAGGGGUCUUGGUGUCCUCUGACUUCUGUCCUCAGAAGGGAGCUCAGAAUGCAGCUGAGGCUUCCCCUGGGGCCCAGGGUGUCUGUGUCCGAGCCACAGCCAGAGUGUGCCCUGGAGAGUCGCUGGGAUGCACGGUGGGCUCUCGUCAUCCUGUCCCCACUCCAGGCUCAGGCUGGAGCCGUGAUGGCACCGCUGCACUCCAACCUGGGCAACAGAGUGAGACCCUGUCUCUAUAAAAUAAAAACAAAAAUAAAGAAGAG
rnacentral:lncRNA from 1 species